rnacentral:lncRNA from 10 species
CGCGCGAUGAUGACGUCAAACGCAAUGGCUCCCGCGGGUUGUGGUCGGAGCGCUGGCGGGGGCGGGAUCGUGACGUUAAGGGCGGUGCCCAGUCAGCGAGGAGCUAGAAUGACUUGUCAGCCACCUUUGAGCAAGAACUUGCCUGGAGUCCAAAUGUAUGGCUAUUGAAGGAUAGUAAGCAGACAGCACUAAAAGUCAUCCAUUCGUUAUGGAUUUAGUCUUAAGACCCUCAUUUGAGAGAUGCCUUCCCUGUACCUGGAGGAAAGAAACAUCUUUAUCUCUGAAGACACAGGGCCACAGAGAAGAGUCUGAACAAACAGGCUUUACCAAUUUCCCCCAGUUGUUACCGUUAGAUCAGACCUUUGUCCAGUCAUAUCCUUCCACAAGUUGUCCACUCAUCAACCCUAAGCAUAAAAAUGCACAAGUUUCCUUGUUUGUUUGGGUCUUCAUUUCCAAGGGCUCCUAUGUCAUGUUAAACUUUUAAAUAAAUUUGCAUGCUUUUCUCUUGUGAAUCUGGUUUUUGUUAUAAGGGCCUUAGCCAUGAACCUAAGAUGGUAAGGGUUUCUUUUCCCCUACAUGCAAUAUAAGUGGAUUUAAAUUUUAUUAAAAUAAAUAGAAAAAUACCUCCCCAGUGUAGACAUGUGUGUAUGUGUGAGGCGCCCAGGCAACUUGUGGUUCCACUUGGAGACGAGCCUCUCCUCUGUACGUCCUUCCCAAAAUAUCACCUUUGCAGUUAAGAUCAAACUUUGAUUUAUGUGGGACUAACUAACAACUGCAGUCGACAAUAGGAAAGCAGCCAGAAUGAUUCCCUGCCGACGUGGUGGAAUUAUUAGACUCCCAUUCUCACAGCAUGGUAAUUAAAGUGUUAAAAUGGAGAGGCACAGGACCAAGGAAGAACGCAUCCAGAAAUUACCCGCACCCAGUCAUUUUCAGGGCACUCAUCUAAUCCUGUCAAUGGAACUUUUUGAGAUGGCUCUAAAUUUCAGUGUGGUUUAGAAGUCCUUCAAGUAGUACGGAAUUUUUUCACUGUCUCUGUCAUCAGUGAGAUUUCUGUCAGGCAUCUCAGCUUGUAGGCCAUGUAGUCUGUCACAACUCCUCCCCCUUGUGGCUGUAGGGUGAAAGCAGCCGCAGACAAUUCCUAGAAGGAGUAGGCUGUUUAUGGACACUGAAAUUUGAAUUUCAUGUAUUUUUAAUGUGUCAUGAGAUAUUCUCUCGAUUUUUUUCCAACAAUUUAAAACUGUAAAAACUAUCCUUAGCCUGCAGGCUAUACAAAAACAGCUGUUUGCCAAUCCUUGCACUAGCUUUGUGAGGGAGGCACAGCUCGCACCCAGCACAGGACCUAGCAAAAUCGAAGAUGCUCAGUAAAUGUUUAUUGAAUGAAUUCAGUGGACAGAUGACCAGAAAAACCCCAUGAUGCCUCAGAAAUACACUCCAAAGGAACUUUUACAAUGUAGUUUUCACAUAGUUAUUUCAUUUAUAUUUGUUUUGUAACAUUUGUACUGCUUUUCGCUUAUUUACUUUUGAGACAAGGUCUCUGUCUCCCAGGCUGGAGUGCAGUGGUGCGAUCUCAGCUCACUGCAACCUCUGCUUCCCAGGUUGAAGUGAUUCUCCUGCCUCAGCCUCCUGAGUAGCUGGGAUUACAGGCAUGAGCCACCAUGCCUGGCCGGGAAUUCAUCUUAUUUUAUAAAACUGCCAAAGUUAUCAAAAAUAAACUAAAACCAGGCCGGGCACGGUGGCUCACACCUGUAAUCCCAGCACUUUGGGAGGCUGAGGCAGGCGGAUCGCUUGAGCUCAGGAGUCGGAGAUGAGCCUGGCCAACAUGGUGAAACCCUGUCUCAACUAAAAAUACAAAAAGCAGCCGGGCAUGGUGGCGCACGCCU